CUACGGGGUGCAGCAGUGGGGAAUCUUGGACAAUGGGCGCAAGCCUGAUCCAGCCAUGCCGCGUGAGUGAAGAAGGCCUUAGGGUCGUAAAGCUCUUUCGCCAGAGAUGAUAAUGACAGUAUCUGGUAAAGAAACCCCGGCUAACUCCGUGCCAGCAGCCGCGGUAAUACGGAGGGGGUUAGCGUUGUUCGGAAUUACUGGGCGUAAAGCGCGCGUAGGCGGAUUAGUCAGUCAGAGGUGAAAUCCCAGGGCUCAACCCUGGAACUGCCUUUGAUACUGCUAGUCUUGAGUUCGAGAGAGGUGAGUGGAAUUCCGAGUGUAGAGGUGAAAUUCGUAGAUAUUCGGAGGAACACCAGUGGCGAAGGCGGCUCACUGGCUCGAUACUGACGCUGAGGUGCGAAAGUGUGGGGGGCAAACAGGAUUAGAUACCCUAGUAGUC
rnacentral:rRNA from 1 species